rnacentral:rRNA from 1 species
ACUCAAAUGAAUUGACGGGGGCCCGCACAAGCAGUGGAGCAUGUGGUUUAAUUCGACGCAACGCGCAGAACCUUACCCGGGCUAGAAAAGUACGGAACCCUUUAGAAAUAUCGGGGUGCUCGCAAGAGAGCCGUAAUCCAGGUGCUGCAUGGCUGUCGUCAGCUCGUGUCGUGAGAUGUUGGGUUAAGUCCCGCAACGAGCGCAACCCUUGUCCUUAGUUGCCAUCAUUUAGUUGGGCACUCUAAGGAGACUGCCGGCGUCAAGCCGGAGGAAGGUGGGGAUGACGUCAAGUCCUCAUGGCCCUUAUGUCCGGGGCUACACACGUGCUACAAUGGUCGGUACAGAACGUCGCGUACCCGCGAGGGGAAGCCAAUCGGCAAAAGCCGACCUCAGUACGGAUUGCAGUCUGCAACUCGACUGCAUGAAGCCGGAAUUGCUAGUAAUCGCUGAUCAGCAGGCAGCGGUGAAUACGUUCCCGGGCCUUGUACACACCGCCCGU